CAUGAACAUGUCACACAGUCACAGGAACAAUGCAAACACACUGUCACAGCAAACAGAAGUUAUAUUAGAAGCAAAAGCACACAGGAGGGCAGGUAUUAUAAGGCGAAGAGUUCAAACAGCUGUUUUCUGAAUGAGUGCAACAUAUAAUGUUUGUAUUUUUUCACAUCUUGAUGAGUUAAGCCCUAUGGCUAAAGACGGCAAUAAUUCUCAUGCAAAGAACUUCAAUCCCAUGUGCUUUUCCAGUUUCAGGUCUAAACCUCCCAUUACAUUUAUGCCUUAAACUUGCAGAGUCACUAAUGACACCUAACAGUAGACAGCCAGAAUCAAAAGAGUGCAUCCCAACUCGUAAUAUUAUCCUGACUUUGGAAAUUUGUGUGUGGCUUUAGAAAUACUUAAAGCUAAAUCACCUGACAUGUCCAGGUGGAAUCUGGUCUGAAGAUUUUAAGACAGCAAAGAGUCCUGAACUCAUAAUGAAUCAAAGUAUUGAUCAAUCUAUUUAUUUAUAUAGCAACAAUUCACAACAAGCGUUAUCCCAAGACUCUGAACAAAAGCUGGUCUAGACCAGACAAAGAAGAUGGUAUCACAUGAGUGAAACACUUUAUGGCAUUUAGAGAUUUACAGUGAAGAGGAAGAACUUCUUUUAACAGGCAGAAACCUGAAGUAGAUCAAGAGUCAUGUUAGAUAGUCAUCUGCUGAGACUGAGUUGAGUUUAAGAUUCAAGAUUCAAGAUACAAGAUACAAGAUUCAAGAUAGCUUUAUUUGUCAUUCACUUUUCCAUCUGCAAGCAGUGUCAGAAAAAUUAAACGAAAUUAUGUUUCUCCCAGUUUGAGACAGGAAUUCAUAAAAGAAUAAAACAAACAGUGCAGAAAAACCUCUAUUAUAUCUAAAACUGAAUAAUAAAACCUAAAACUAGUCAUUAAAAAAGUACCCCCAGUUCGUCUACUAAGGAGAUUGGUGCUCAGAAAUCUGGUUGCCUGUGGAAGAAACUGUUCUUCAUUCUCUCCAUCUUGGCACCGAUACUCCUGUAUCUUCUGCCAGACGGCAGAAGGGAGAUGAGGUUGUGAGAGGGGUGCGUUGUGUCUUUAAGGAUACCAGUGGCUCUCCUCAAACAGCGCUGCUGGGACAUGUCUGCCAGGGGUGGCAACGUAGUGCCAAUGAUCUUCUCGGUUGUUCUCACAGUCCUGUGUAGCUGUUUUUUCUCCUCGGCUGUGCUGUUCCUGUGCCAGAAGGUGAGGCAGUAGGUGAGAAGGCUCUCGAUGGUACCCCUGUAAAACAUGGUCAGGGCUGAGAUGGAGAGGUCAGCUUUCUUCAGCUGACGGAGGGGGUAAAGACGCUGCUGGGCCUUUUUUGUGAUGGCAGUGGUGUUGCUGCUAGAGGCCAGAUUGUCUGUCAGCAGUACUCCCAGGAAUUUUGUGCUCGUUACCCUCUUCACAGCACACUUUUAGAGAAAGGAGAGAGGGAGAUAGAGAAAGAGAGAGAUGGACAGAGGAGAGACUGAUGCUCAUAGUUGCAGCAGCUGAAAAGCAGACAGGUCCUCUGCAGCCAAAUGUCUGCAGCAGUGAUCCAGAGGAACUUAGGCACCUAACUAAGAGCUGAUCCAGGCUGGACCCAGCUCUAACUAUCAGCUUUAUUAAAGAGGGACGUUCACAAACAUAGGGGCCUGUAGAAAACUUUUUUAGCAGUGAGAUCAGCGUAGCUUUUAUUGACCUACUUCUCAGCUAGCAGAUAGUGUUUUGGCUUUGGUGGACAAAUUAACAUUUUUAUCACUUGAUCAUCUCAAAUAAUGUUUUUUGAGGGGAGGAAAAAGUCAGCUAACUAAACAAAUGUUUUCUCCUUUUUCGCCUAAAAAUGUGAUGGCACUCUUACAGGGUUCAAAAUGACCCAAGAGCAAUGGUCUACCUGGUUUCUACAUUUUUGUGAGUAAAGCAUUUUAAUAAGUAGUAACUGUCCCUCACCCCCACAUUACUGAGGAGGGUCUUAUUUUGACCUCUGACUGGAUAACAAUGACAUGCCUCCUUCAAGGUUAAAAAAGGUCAAAGCAGAAAUAUUGCCUUUGCUGGUGUUAACAGAUUCUUCUGGUGAUGUAUUUUGGGACAAAGAGUCUGACCAGAAGAAUUGAUGUCAAAGGCCCAAAUGGGAGCAAAAAAAAAGCAAAACAACAACAACAACAACAACUUCAAACUCCCCAAUAAAAGGUCAAAGACCUCUGUGAACGGUACAGCCCACAGCAGAAGAGGUUCAUGUGUUGGUUGGAGGCAGACAUAGUCAGAAGUAGUUGGCUGGCUCUUUUGUCAGGGUUUGGUACGUCCUCUCUUGGAUGAUCUGGUGAAGAUCGUUGCAGGAGACUUGAUUUUAGUAUAAAAUAAAUGGCAAUUAAAAAAAAACUGCACCUGCACAUCAGCGUGAUAAGAAAGAAGAAGAAGAAGAAGAAGAACAAGAAGAAGAAGAAGAAGAAGAACUUAACUGAUAGAGGGCUGAAGGUGUCAUAAAACAACAUCACAUUAUUUUUCUGUCUGAUUUCACAGUUUUUGUUUUGGGUCAUCACCUUUGAAAUGUUUAUUUAUUUUGUGUUAUAAUUUCUCUUGUUACACAGGGCUCGUCAUGUAGUAGUAAAUAAAGAAUCUGCUUUGUUUUAAGAAAUAAAACUUGGACAACACAAAUGAGCAGCCUGUUUCUGAGAUGUCCUCAGGUAACCAUAAGGUAAUGUUUACCUGGCUGGUUGUUUCCCCUGUUUGCCAUAUUUAUCUCAAGCUAAUUUUGGCCUAAAUACCAAUUUUUCAAUGUGUGCAUGAGAAAAAACGGCCUAAUAAUCUGUGUUUUGUUUGUUUUCCCUCUAUACUGAAUGUAGGUUUGUUACAGAGAACAGUUGUGUUAACAGUUUAGUUUGACUUAUGGACAAAUCCUCCAGAAUUUUAAUGUGUAAUCUGACAUGUCCAGCACAGUGACUGUGGUUAAACAGUCACUGGAUGUGUGACUGGCUCUAUCACAGUGGGUGUCACCAACAGUGGGUGGUUAUAUAGACAGCAGCGUGUUCAAUGUCUCACACUGAUAAGAGCUUUACUGUCAGACAAAGUGACAGAUGUUUCAAACUCAGAGUUGAUGUCAGCACACCAACUCAAUGUCUGUGAGAAACAGGACAAAAGCAGUGAAACUUGAAUCUUUACAUCGCUGCAAAAAAUAAAUAAAUACAAUGAAUAGUAAUAAAAAAGGUCUUUUCUGCCACUCCAGCCUCAUUUUUUCAGUCAAUUAAUCAGUUCAACUUUAGGUUCUUGAAUUUUUCCCAGAGCACACGCCCUAAACUCCGGAUGCACAAUGAACUUCUGGGGGAGAAAACAUUUAGGCUUUUUUAGAGUAGGACCGCCAUGUGUAAUGAAUAAAAAAAGGGAAAAACAAAAACAAAACAAACAAACAAACAAAAAAACAUUUGAACUCUUCACAGGUCAGCACUACCACAUCAUUUAGCUGUUUUUGAAAACUCCAACCAAACGCUUUCUGGGAUGUAAAUGUGUGCUAAAUUUGAAGAUUUUCCAGCACCUUACACUGUAGUCAGAAAGCCCAAUCAUUCUACACCACACCUGGGCACAACAUUUUCUUGUUUUCGAGUAAUUGAUUUAACCAAAAUAUCUUCAUGCUUCAUAUACAGUCAGAGGAGUACACCACUGUUGACAGCAAGAGGUCUCUGAAUACAAAGAGUCACAGUUUACACACCUAGACCUCCAGGUAUCCUGGGAUCUCUCCUACAGUUGGCACUGAAGUUUCUCCUUUCUGUCCUUUGGUCUGCGGAGCCUCAUUCUUCCUCUGUAAACUCUGGUCCCUAAAGGUGUCCUCCAAGGUCCACUGCAGGUGGCAUGUCUAAGUUGCUGUUAAAAUCCCUCAUUUUUCAGUUGGUUCAUAUUUCAUCUGUUUUGAAGCUUUGCAGCCCCAUCAUCUGACCUGUGCACUGCAGGUGGAGGAAUAUGUAGGGGAGACUGGGGCUUGUUGUCACAUGGGUAAGAUGUCACAUUGCAAUCAUCUUUGCCACCAGAGGGCGCAACUAAAAAGUGGAAUACUAGUUUUAUUCCUUUACAUAGUCAGGGGUCGUGUCCUGUCUGAGAAGAGAACAUUGUGAGCUGAGAUGAGCACCAAUUAACCAUUUAACACAAUGCAAAAAAAAAAAUACUUCACAUAUUUUAAAUUAAGCUUCUUCCAGAUAAAAAUUCCAGCAGUGAAGCAUGUGGACUUGUUAGAGGAGAGAUUAAGACAUCCUGUCAUAGCUCAGUCAUUGUUCUGUUUUAAGCUAACUUUAAGAUAUAGCUCUAAUUAGCAAACACAGUAGUUUGGGGCAACAUGUUUCAGUCAUUUUGGGGUUAGUUGUCACAUGUUUAAAAGGGAUUAAAAUGAACAAAGAGAGUCUGCUUAUCAGCAGUUGUCAUAACGAAAUUUUAACUUUAUUUUUACAGAGAAAAUAGUGGCUUAAAGGAGAGGAGAAAGGAAGAAGACAUGGUCAGGAAUUUCAAAAGAAAAACAGAACGUGGCAGUGCAGUGUCUGACGUCAUGCUGAAGGCAGUCAGACAGGUGACUACAAUAAAGGACUUUAAUGUCAAAUAUCAUACCUUUGCUCUGUACUGCAAAAUAUUCACCCCAGCUGAAAUACAGAGUCAGACAGCUGUCCAAACUCCAGUGCAUGUUGCAUAAUAUUUUAUGUUAACGUUUGUUUAAUGACUUUUUCUAGCUCAAUGAUAAACAUUUUCUGUGCCUGAUGUUGAUAUUCACUUUCAAGUUAAAAAAUUAAAACAACAAUAAUUUUAUCCUUGUUUUAUUAGCUGCAAAAUUCACUGUGACAUCUUACCCCAUGUAGUGAGACAACUUACCCGAUGAUGGGGCAAAAUGUCACAUGUUCACACUGUCUAUCAUAACCUAUAACUCUGCACUGACACAAGAUACGAAAAUGACAUGAAUACAAAAUAUAUACCUGAGACUCUGGUCUUUCUUCUGGUACACAUUUUGUUUCUAUAUGAUGUAUUGAUUCAAAGACAUGUAUAUGAGUAUAUAAAGUGUGACAACGAGCCCCGGUCUCCCCU